AGAUUUGAUAAGCAGAAACUGCAGCAGCUGUUUCAUUCCCAAUGUAUACUUGCAUUUUGGAUUGAACUUGUCCAUUUAACCAACUGAUUGGAAAGGGAGGACCUUUUUGCCUCUUUAGAAGAAUGAAACUCAGCAACGUGAAGUCCAUGUACCAGAAGCAGAAACAGAAGCUGAAGCAGAAGGGAUCCCCGCUUUGCAGACUGAAUAUUCAGGAUCUUUUGAGCAACUCAAAGAAGAUAUGGUGGCAGAGUAGAGGAAAGCUCAAAUUAUUCGUGGCUGACACAGGGAUAUUAUCCUCUGCAUAGUUGUUGUGUGUUGAAGAGAUGGAAGGUGAACAAAGUACAAAUGGUAUGCAUGAGUAUGAGAGAAAGCAUAUGUGGUGUAUGUUUUUCUAAAUCUUAAAAGAAUGACUUUAUGCCUAUGUUAACCAUACAAUUAUUUAAAAUACUGCAGGCUGAAAAAUUUGUUUAUCUGGAAAAUGAGCACAAAGUAAUUAAAACUUGCCAACAAUUUA